AUGUGACUCUAAAAAAAUUGCAGGCUUUUCAAAAUUUUUUUUUUUCUUUUUCUUCCCAGAUUGUCAGCUUCUUUGGAUUCAGGUCCUGCAAUUGUAAAGGCCUGAUCAGUACUCAAUUUUAGACAUAGCAGGUGUUAAAAAUGAGACUGAUGCAAUAUUUAAUUACGAAUUCUCCAAAUUUGAACCCUACGUAAACUUGAUUUAGAUAAUCAUGAUGUAAGAAGCAAUAAUGAUACAUGAUUAGGUGUACAAAAAGUUAUCGUUAAUGUAAAUAUAGAAAUUUGUAGAACUGGCAGUCGCAGCUCAUCAUGAUUAGUUGUGCAAUACCUUUAAUGGUAAAGCAUUAAUGAAAUUCUAUAAAGACUAAAAACCAUUUAAACCAAAAGAUAUAGAUUUGAUUGCCGCUCACAUGGGUGGGAAAGGGAGUAGAUUACUAUUAAGCCUAAUAAUAAUAAUAAGGAGCCCCUACGUUACGAUUAACGUAACGUACACUCACACACAGCAACAGUACCAAUUCAUCCAAUUCCUCAAUACCCAAAAACGCUGAUCUAAGCUUGCUUUAGAAAAGAUAAUUAUUAGGUAAGAAACAAUGAUACAUGAUUGGUGGUGUAUAAACAUUUAUCAUUUGUGCAAUAAUAUUGAAACUUGAAACACUGAUAACAUGAUUAGUUGUACAAUAUCUUAACGUUAAUGCAAUUUUAAAAAGAGUAAAGAGCAUUUAAAUGCAAAAUCAGCACCAAUUCCUCAAAAGCCAUUUGUUCUUCUGUAUAUCCAUACAAAAUUACAAAUGAUGCAACAAUGUUCUUGCUACUCACAAAAUAAAGAGAUUAUAGCUGUGAAACCCUUUGAUUUACAGCUACAACGGGUGGCUGCAGUUGCCCUUUACAUUUACAUCCUCACCGAGUUCAUGAGUACAACUUAUAGCUUCGAAAUUGACCUCAUUCCAAGAACCUCCAUUGAUUCAAAUCUUUUCCCCAAACACCUUACUCAUGAAGAAACAUAUCAUAGAAUUGCUUCACUUUCGAGAGCUCAUGCUCAUCAUCUCAGUUCCAUGAAUUCUGCCAAAUCCUCCCGAAAACAAAGCACACCCCGAGCCUGAUCAGUGGAUGCAACCACCAACUUUUUCUUUUCCUUUUGCUAAUAUAUAUGUAACAAAGGAUCGAGUUAAUUGGUUCAAGACAAUUCUCACCUUACCUGGUUAUGGAUACUGGUAGUGGGCUAUAUGUGACUUCAAUCUGAAAGAUUGAUUAGACAUUGAUCCGGCAUUGUUUGAGCUAAGCCGUGGCAGUUCAGGUCGGGUUUGCUAUUGAUUCACGCGUUGGACUGAUAAUUCAGGUUCCUGCUGCAUAUAAAGUUUGAAAGCUGAGAUGAUCAAGCACGUUGUUAUACAAAAUGGCUGGCAUCUCGUAGAGGCAGAGAAUUCAAAGAAAAUUCCAUAUGACUUCUGCUUUUGGGUCACACCAACUGGCAUUAAUGAUUCAAAACCAUCAAUGACAAUCCAUUUUGAGGAAGCUGAUCUUGUUCUGGAGCCUAAUGCUGUGUCUCAGAAAGUUGGUGAUCCCUUAUGAAUGAAUGUUAUCCCCAGCUAUCCUAAUGGACCAAAUCUAUUAGGGGCUUCUCAGCAGGCAAACAACCAUUUCUUGUUCGAUGUUAGAAAAUUUAUUUUGUCAUUUAUUACUGAAAAAAGUAAUGAAUAGGUAGGUUACAAGGUUAAAAUGUAAUGACUGGGUAGAUUAUAA
rnacentral:lncRNA from 1 species